rfam:Salmo salar isolate Sally breed double haploid chromosome ssa21, whole genome shotgun sequence.
UGCAUUCACUACUGUAAGUCACUCUGGAUAAGAGCUUCUGCUAAAUGACUCAAA